GUUGUGGUCCCCUGUCCCCAACUGUUGUGGGGAGGGUAGCUGUACAAAUUAACAUCUGUUAUUAGGUAGUGGGCUCAAUUACUACACAAGAUUGUUACGUCUAGUGAUAUGGAAGUCCAGGAGAUUCGCAAAGAUAGAAUCUUACCUCCUCUGGCCAAAUUCAAGGCUGGAACAGGGAUACUGGUGUGCAGGAAGGGGAUUUUGGUGUGGCUCACGGAGGAACUGCUAGAUUAAUGUGUGAUCUGCCUGGAAUAACAAAACUAUUAUCCAUGAGUUUGUAAACACAAUUUACAUAAAGUUUCUCCUGAAGACCGAAGAAAAUCCAACUCAGGCUAACGAGGAAAAUAUUCUGACUUGUGUGCUAGAUAGCGUUACGUAGUAAUACUGGCUUUUCAACUGAUGACAACCUUCAAACUUCGAAAUUCCAGGCACGUCGAAUCCUAAUUCCGAAUUCUAUUUGGUUGUAUUCGGUAUUUCCCCCCUACACGAUCGAGGAAGAAAUUUGGUGUACCUGACGAAUCACACGUUCCAACAAUCACAACAAAAAUUAGUGGACAAGGACGAAUUCUUAAUAGCUAAUGUUUUCCCGAAUAUCUUCAGCAACAAACUCCACGUCAUAAAUACCUUAAAACAUUACUGGACGUAAGCAGUAUCCUGAAUCCACUGAGUUAAAUGCCUUAACACAAUGCAACUAGCUGGCCACAUUUCACUUUCAAAUACCAAAACAUAAAAGUAAUAACAUGACACUGUAUUGAGAAGGAUCCCCAUAAAAGCACUGACCUGAAAAACGAUCAAGAAACG